GUGAUAUAUAAUAUUAAUGAGAAAAUUGUGAAGAUUAUUGCAAGGGGG
rnacentral:antisense_RNA from 1 species